UAUCUUCUGCUGUCCUGCCCUUACAGAAGAGGGGUCUGGAGAACUCUUUAUAUGACGCCAAGCACUGGCAUGACAUCGAACUGCAGAACCUAGGCUCUGUCAUUUCCAAGCUGGAGGCAGAGAUGGGAGAAAUCAAAGUAGAAACGGAGCAGCAGCAGCGGGACCGUGAAAAUCUGCUGACCAGCAAACAACAGCUGGAGAAAGACAUUGCUGCAUAUCACUGCCUUCUGGAUGGAGAGCAAAGCAGCUGAUUAUGAAACUCCCAGCCCAGAGAAGACCAUUGCCAUUAAAGCAAAAGAAGAUGUCACUGCCAGUUAUGUUCGUGGAAGCUAAAAACCCAUCAAAGCAGCCUGCUUUAUUCAGUUUGAUUCAACAAUCAAAGUAGGUUGUAGCUUGAACAACUUUAUUAGACCCUUCUCAUGUAAUUGCUUUGCUUACAGAUUUCAAUUUACUCAUGUUGUUAAAAUUAUAAUAAAAAUAAAGAAUAUCA